rnacentral:rRNA from 1 species
GUACACUCCUGCGGGAGGCAGCAGUGGGGAAUUUUGGACAAUGGGCGAAAGCCUGAUCCAGCAAUGCCGCGUGUGUGAAGAAGGCCUUCGGGUUGUAAAGCACUUUUGUCCGGAAAGAAAUCCUUGGCUCUAAUACAGUCGGGGGAUGACGGUACCGGAAGAAUAAGCACCGGCUAACUACGUGCCAGCAGCCGCGGUAAUACGUAGGGUGCGAGCGUUAAUCGGAAUUACUGGGCGUAAAGCGUGCGCAGGCGGUUUGCUAAGACCGAUGUGAAAUCCCCGGGCUCAACCUGGGAACUGCAUUGGUGACUGGCAGGCUAGAGUAUGGCAGAGGGGGGUAGAAUUCCACGUGUAGCAGUGAAAUGCGUAGAGAUGUGGAGGAAUACCGAUGGCGAAGGCAGCCCCCUGGGCCAAUACUGACGCUCAUGCACGAAAGCGUGGGGAGCAAACAGGAUUAGAUACCCGAGUAGUCCCAUG